UGUUUCAUCCCACUAAAACCAGACUCAUAUCCAAGUUGCAACAACAAGUCGAGACAGAUUGGAGAGUCUGGAGGGAAACAGAUAAUCAAUCAACCACAUUAUGGAUGAUGAAUCAGUGCGCGCGUGCA
ensembl:ncRNA F58H1.22 ncRNA